rnacentral:lncRNA from 1 species
AAAAGGCUGCAGGCAAGAGACAAGAAUCUUGGGUCAUCACUUGUCRUUACUAGUCCCUUUGACAAAAUGCUGUCUCAGGAAGAAAAAAAAACGUUCAUGUUCACAGAUGUGUACUGUAGGAGCAAGGCUUGCUGAAGUGGAUAGCAUUGCUGUACCACAAGAUAUUGCUGAAAUAACCACAAAAAGAAGAAGGAAAAAAAAGUGACUUGUGUUCCUAAAGAGAGAACCUAUCAAA